UACGUAGGGCGCAAGCGUUAUCCGGAAUUAUUGGGCGUAAAGAGCUCGUAGGCGGUUUGUCGCGUCUGCCGUGAAAGUCCGGGGCUCAACUCCGGAUCUGCGGUGGGUACGGGCAGACUAGAGUGAUGUAGGGGAGACUGGAAUUCCUGGUGUAGCGGUGAAAUGCGCAGAUAUCGGGAGGAACACCAAUGGCGAAGGCAGCUCGCUGGGACGGUACUGACGCUGAGGCACGAAGGCCAGGGGAGCAAACGGG
rnacentral:rRNA from 1 species